UCGAACGAUGAAACUUAGCUGAUUUCUUCGGAAUGAAAUUAAGUGGAUUAGUGUCGAACGGGUGAGUAACACGUGAGUAACCUGCCUUACACAAGGGGAUAGCCUUUGGAAACGAAGAAUAAUACCCUAUAACGUCAAUCUAUCGCAUGAUAGAAUGACCAAAGAUUUAUCGGUGUAAGAUGGACUUGCGUCUGAUUAGCUAGUUGGUGAGAUAAAAGCCCACCAAGGCGACGAUCAGUAGCCGGCUUGAGAGAGUGUACGGCCACAUUGGGACUGAGACACGGCCCAAACUCCUACGGGAGGCAGCAGUGGGGAAUUUUGCACAAUGGGGGAAACCCUGAUGCAGCGACGCCGCGUGAUUUAGAAGGCUUUCGGGUUGUAAAAAUCUUUUUUAUGGGAUGAAAAUGACAGUACCAUAAGAAUAAGGUCCGGCUAAAUACGUGCCAGCAGCCGCGGUAAUACGUAUGGACCGAGCGUUGUCCGGAAUCAUUGGGCGUAAAGGGUACGUAGGCGGCCUAGUAAGUUAGAAGUGAAAUAAUAUAGCUCAACUAUAUAAAGCUUUUAAAACUGUUAGGCUUGAGAGAUGAAAGGGAAAGUGGAAUUCCUAGUGUAGCGGUGAAAUGCGCAGAUAUUAGGAAGAAUACCGGUGGCGAAGGCGACUUUCUGGUCAUCAUCUGACGCUGAGGUACGAAAGCGUGGGUAGCAAACAGGAUUAGAUACCCUGGUAGUCCACGCUGUAAACGAUGAGUGUUAGGUUCUUGGAAUAAUCUGGGAGCCGCAGCUAACGCAUUAAACACUCCGCCUGGGGAGUACGCACGCAAGUGUGAAACUCAAAGGAAUUGACGGGGACCCGCACAAGCA
rnacentral:rRNA from 1 species